CAUGGAGUUUGAUCCUGGCUCAGAUUGAACGCUGGCGGAAUGCUUUACACAAUGCAAGUCGAACGGUAGAGGGGGCAACCCCUCGAGAGUGGCGAAACGGGUGAGUAAUAUAUCGGAACGUGCCCAGUCGUGGGGGAUAACGUAGCGAAAGUUACGCUAAUACCGCAUACGAUCUAAGGAUGAAAGCGGGGAUCGCAAGACCUCGCGCGAUUGGAGCGGCCGAUAUCAGAUUAGGUAGUUGGUGGGUAAACGG
rnacentral:rRNA from 1 species